rnacentral:rRNA from 1 species
CAAUAGCGUAUAUUAAAUUUGUUGCGGUUAAAAAGCUCGUAGUUGGACUUCUGCCGAGAGCAGCCGAUCCGCCCUUUGGGUGUGAAUUUGGCUUGCGCUUGGCAUCUUCUUGGGAGUCACGGCUGCACUUCAUUGGGUGGUGUGAUUGCCAAGGCGUUUACUUUGAGGAAAUUGGAGCGCUUCAAGCAGGUAUCAGCCUUGAAUACAUGAGCAUGGAAUAAUGAUCAAGAACUCCGGUUUUGUUUUGUUGGUUUCUGAAGCUGGUGUAAAGAUUAAUAGGGAUGGCUGGGGGCAUUCGUAUUUGAUUGUCAGAGGUGAAAUUCUUGGAUUUGUCAAAGACGAACAAUUGCGAAAGCAUCUGCCAAGGGUGUUUUCAUUAA